rnacentral:rRNA from 1 species
AGCAAUUAUACCGUGAAACUGCGAAUGGCUCAUUAAAUCAGUUAUCGUUUAUUUGAUAGUACCUUACUACUUGGAUAACCGUGGUAAUUCUAGAGCUAAUACAUGCUGAAAACCCCAACUUCGGGAGGGGUGUAUUUAUUAGAUAAAAAACCAACGCCCUUCGGGGCUUCUUGGUGAUUCAUGAUAACUUCACGGAUCGCAUGGCCUUGCGCCGGCGACGGUUCAUUCAAAUUUCUGCCCUAUCAACUUUCGAUGGUAAGGUAUUGGCUUACCAUGGUUUCAACGGGUAACGGGGAAUUAGGGUUCGAUUCCGGAGAGGGAGCCUGAGAAACGGCUACCACAUCCAAGGAAGGCAGCAGGCGCGCAAAUUACCCAAUCCCGACACGGGGAGGUAGUGACAAUAAAUACUGAUACAGGGCUCUUUUGGGUCUUGUAAUUGGAAUGAGUACAAUUUAAACCUCUUAACGAGGAACAAUUGGAGGGCAAGUCUGGUGCCAGCAGCCGCGGUAAUUCCAGCUCCAAUAGCGUAUAUUAAAGUUGUUGCAGUUAAAAAGCUCGUAGUUGAAACUUGGGCCUGGCUGGCAGGUCCGCCUCACCGCGUGUACUUGUCCGGCCGGGCCUUUCCUUCUGGAGAACCUCAUGCCCUUCACUGGGUGUGUUGGGGAACCAGGACUUUUACUUUGAAAAAAUUAGAGUGUUCAAAGCAGGCCUUUGCUCGAAUACGUUAGCAUGGAAUAAUAGAAUAGGACGUGCGGUCCUAUUUUGUUGGUUUCUAGGACCGCCGUAAUGAUUAAUAGGGACAGUCGGGGGCAUCAGUAUUCAAUUGUCAGAGGUGAAAUUCUUGGAUUUAUUGAAGACUAACUACUGCGAAAGCAUUUGCCAAGGAUGUUUUCAUUAAUCAGUGAACGAAAG